rnacentral:rRNA from 1 species
AUACGGAGGAUGCGAGCGUUAUCCGGAUUUAUUGGGUUUAAAGGGUGCGUAGGUGGUAGAUUAAGUCAGCGGUGAAAGUUUGUCGCUCAACGAUAAAAUUGCCGUUGAUACUGGUUUACUUGAGUAUAGUUGAAGUAGGCGGAAUGCGUGGUGUAGCGGUGAAAUGCAUAGAUAUCACGCAGAACUCCGAUUGCGAAGGCAGCUUACUAAGUUAUAACUGACACUGAAGCACGAAAGCGUGGGUAUCAAACAGGAUUAGAUACCCUGGUAGUCCACGCAGUAAACGAUGAUUACUAGCUGUUUGCGAUAUACAGUAAGCGGCCAAGCGAAAGCGUUAAGUAUUCCACCUGGGGAGUACGCCGGCAACGGUGAAACUCAAAUGAAUUGACGGGG